rnacentral:rRNA from 1 species
AGAGUUUGAUCCUGGCUCAGAUUGAACGCUGGCGGAAUGCUUUACACAUGCAAGUCGAACGGCAGCAUAGAGAGCUUGCUCUCUGAUGGCGAGUGGCGAACGGGUGAGUAAUAUAUCGGAACGUGCCUAGUAAUGGGGAAUAACUAGCUGAAAGGUUAGCUAAUGCCGCAUACGACCUACGGGUGAAAGCAGGGGAUCUUCGGACCUUGCGUUAUUAGAGCGGCCGAUAUCUGAUUAGCUUGUUGGUGGGGUAAUGGCCUACCAAGGCGACGAUCAGUAGCUGGUCUGAGAGGACGAUCAGCCACACUGGAACUGAGACACGGUCCAGACUCCUACGGGAGGCAGCAGUGGGGAAUUUUGGACAAUGGGGGCAACCCUGAUCCAGCCAUUCCGCGUGAGUGAAGAGGGCCUUCGGGUUGUAAAGCUCUUUCGCAAGAGAAGAAAACUUGCUAUCUAAUAAAUAGUAAGUAUGACGGUAUCUUGACAAGAAGCACCGGCUAACUACGUGCCAGCAACCGCGGUAAUAAGGGCGA